AACCCAUGUUGAGAACAUUUCCACGGAAUUCCUUGAACCCAUCCCAUGUCUCAAAAAGAGACUCCAAUUAUAUUUGCACAAAAGAGGAUAUUUUUAUUCCUAAGCUU